rnacentral:rRNA from 1 species
CAGUCGCCGCGGGAAUACAGAGGGUGCAAGCGUUGUUCGGAAUCAUUGGGCGUAAAGGGCGCGUAGGCGGCUAGGUAAGUUAGAUGUGAAAGCCCAGGGCUCAACCUUGGAAGUGCAUCUAAAACUACCUAACUAGAGUCUCGGAGAGGGUGGUAGAAUUCCCAGUGUAGAGGUGAAAUUCGUAGAUAUUGGGAGGAAUACCGGUGGCGAAGGCGACCGCCUGGACGAAGACUGACGCUGAGGCGCGAGAGCGUGGGGAGCAAACAGGAUUAGAUACCCGCGUAGUCCCUGUCUCUUAUAA